rnacentral:rRNA from 1 species
UACGGAGGGGGCUAGCGUUGUUCGGAAUUACUGGGCGUAAAGCGCGCGUAGGCGGACCUGCAAGUCGGGGGUGAAAGCCCGAGGCUCAACCUCGGAACUGCCUUCGAUACUGCGGGUCUCGAGUCCGGAAGAGGUUGGUGGAAUUCCGAGUGUAGAGGUGAAAUUCGUAGAUAUUCGGAGGAACACCAGAGGCGAAGGCGGCCAACUGGUCCGGUACUGACGCUGAGG